rnacentral:rRNA from 1 species
UUCGCAAUGCCCGAAAGGGUGACGAAGCGACGCCGCGUGUGGGAAGAAGGCCUUCGGGUUGUAAACCACUGUCGGGAGUUAAGAAAUGCAAGGAUAUGAAUAGUGUCUUUGCUUGACUAAGGCUCCGGAGGAAGCCACGGCUAACUCUGUGCCAGCAGCCGCGGUAAUACAGAGGCGGUAAGCGUUGUUCGGAAUUAUUGGGCGUAAAGAGCACGUAGGCGGCUAUAUAAGUCGGUUGUGAAAGCCUUCCGCUCAACGGGAGAACAGCAUCCGAUACUGUAUGGCUUGAGUGUGGGAGGGGAGAGCGGAACUUCUGGUGGAGCGGUGAAAUGCGUAGAUAUCAGAAGGAACGCCGGCGGCGAAAGCGGCUCUCUGGCCCAUAACUGACGCUGAGUGUGCGAAAGCUAGGGGAGCAAACGGGAUUAGAUACCCCGGUAGUCCUAGCCGUAAACGAUGGGCACUAAGUAGAGGGGUUUU